AAAAACCAGUUGAAAUUCCCAGUCCUCUUGAAACCCCGGCUGAACCUUCUGAACCUGAAAGUAACUUACAACCUGUGCUGGCUCUCAUCCCACGAGAAAAGAAAGCCCCACGUCCUCCAAAGAAGAAAUACCAGAGAGCUGGGCUGUAUUCUGAUGUCUACAAAACUACAGACCCAAAGAGCCGAUUAAUCCAACUGAAGAAAGAGAAGUUGGAGUACACUCCGGGAGAGCAUGAGUAUGGACUAUUCCCAGCACCCAUUCAUGUUGGAAAGUAUCUCAGACAGAAGAGAAUUGACUUCCAGCUUCCCUACGACAUCCUCUGGCAGUGGAAACACAAUCAGCUAUACAAAAAGCCAGAUGUCCCCCUGUAUAAAAAAAUCCGUUCAAAUGUCUACGUUGAUGUCAAACCUCUUUCUGGUUAUGAGGC
rnacentral:lncRNA from 1 species